rnacentral:lncRNA from 10 species
GAAAUAGAUGCAGCCCACAAAAUCCCCAGGGCUGCUCAGCAGAGUGGUGUGGAUGGGUACAGUGUCAACCUCGGUGGUGGCCAGGUGCUGUGGUCCUCAGACACCUUGCACCGGUGUCAGGGCUCCUGAGGCCACCUUAGGGACAGAAGCCAGCCCCUCCUCUCUGCUUGCUUUCUUCAGUGUUGCCCAAGUUUGAGCUUCUGAUUGACCCGCCCCGGUAUAUCCAAGACCUGGACGCCUGUGAGACAGGCACUGUGCGGGCCAGGUAUACCUUUGGGAAACCUGUGGCUGGUGCCUUAAUGAUCAACAUGACUGUUAAUGGUGUAGGGUACUACAGCCACGAGGUGGGACGCCCUGUCCUCAGAACAACCAAGGUGAGAAACAGGGACCCCUUCUACCCCCUGACCCAACCCCCAGGUUCACCUCCACCAGCACACAUUUUAUUUUACUUUCUCUUAUUGUUAUUAUUUUAUUUACUGCCUUUAAAAAGUUUUUGAAUAGAGACAGGAUCUCACUAUGUUGCCCAGGCUUGUCUUGAACUCCUGGGCUCAAGCGAUCCUCUCGCCUUUGCCCCCAAAAGUG